GGAGGAAAGCAGGGGAUCGAAAGACCUUAUGCUUUUGGAGCGGCCGAUGUCUGAUUAGCUAGUUGGUAAGGUAAUGGCUUACCAAGGCAACGAUCAGUAGUUGGUCUGAGAGGACGACCAGCCACACUGGGACUGAGACACGGCCCAGACUCCUACGGGAGGCAGCAGUGGGGAAUUUUGGACAAUGGGCGCAAGCCUGAUCCAGCAAUGCCGCGUGAGUGAAGAAGGCCUUCGGGUUGUAAAGCUCUUUCAGUUGAGAAGAAAAGAUUGUGACUAAUAAUUGCAAUUCAUGACGGUAUCAACAGAAGAAGCACCGGCUAACUACGUGCCAGCAGCCGCGGUAAUACGUAGGGUGCGAGCGUUAAUCGGAAUUACUGGGCGUAAAGGGUGCGCAGGCGGUUCUGUAAGUCAGAUGUGAAAUCCCCGGGCUUAACCUGGGAACUGCGUUGGAAACUACAAAGCUAGA
rnacentral:rRNA from 1 species